rnacentral:tRNA from 1 species
GGAGGCGUGGCUGAGCGGUUUAAAGCAGCAUCCUGCUAAGAUGUUAGGGGAGCAAUCCUCUCGGAGGUUCGAAUCCUCCCGCCUCCG